UACAGAGGGUGCGAGCGUUGUUCGGAAUUAUUGGGCGUAAAGGGCGCGUAGGCGGUGCGGUAAGUCACCUGUGAAAUCUCCUGGCUCAACUGGGAGCUUGCAGGCGAAACUGCCGUGCUGGAGUGUGGGAGAGGUGCGUGGAAUUCCUGGUGUAGCGGUGAAAUGCGUAGAUAUCGGGAGGAACACCCGUAGCGAAGGCGGCACUCUGGGCCGGAACUGACGCUGAGGAGCGAAAGCGUGGGGAGCAAACAGG
rnacentral:rRNA from 1 species